CCUACAGGAGGCAGCAGUGAGGAAUAUUGCGCAAUGGGCGAAAGCCUGACGCAGCGACGCCGCGUGAGGGAUGAAGGUCUUCGGAUCGUAAACCUCUGUCAGCAGGGAAGAACGGUCACUGUGCUAAUCAGCAGUGAAUUGACGGUACCUGCAAAGGAAGCACCGGCUAACUCCGUGCCAGCAGCCGCGGUAAUACGGCGGGUGCGAGCGUUUAUCGGCAUUACUGGGCGUAAAGCGCUCGUAGGCGGUAUGUCAAGUCAAGGGUGAACUCCCCGCGAUAAACGUGGGAACUGCCUUUGAAACUGGCAAACUGGAGUGUGUGAGAGGAUAGUGGAAGUCCAGGUGUAGGAGGGAAAUCCGUAGAUAUCUGGAGGAACAUCAGGGGCGAAGGCGACUAUCUGGCACAUAACUGACGCUGAGGAGCGAAAGCGUGGGUAGCAAACAGGAUUAGAUACCCCUGUAGUC
rnacentral:rRNA from 1 species